UCGCCUUUCAGCUCUACGACCUGGAUCGAGACGGAAAGAUCUCCAGGAACGAGAUGCUGCAGGUACUCCGGCUGAUGGUCGGGGUGCAGGUGACAGAGGAGCAGCUGGAGAGCAUCGCUGACCGCACGGUGCAGGAGGCCGAUGAAGACGGGGAUGGGGCCGUGUCCUUCCUGGAGUUCACCAAGUCCCUGGAGAAGAUGAACAUUGAGCAGAAGAUGAGCAUCCGGAUCCUGAAGUGACCUUCGUGCGUCUGACCA